UCGUUAUUCUAGAAAACAUAAUAUAAUAUGAAUAAAUUGGCGAAAAACAUAUAAAGAGGGUACUAGACUCCAUUUCAGAGUUUGAGUUUUCAAGUAAUGCGAUCCCGAAGCUCUACGAUCCUAAUAGCGAUUGACCCGAUGUUGGGUCAAAACGAGUUUCAUUUCGGAACUCCAACUCCCUAGUGUUCCAUGUAAAAGAAAAAAAGAUAAAGAUUAAUAAUCCAAAUACAUCAAAAAAGACAAAAUUAAAGGAAAAAUAGAUCAAUAAACAAAGCAUCACCUAUGAUUUUUUAAACUUAACCUAAAUACGGUAAUUUAGCAAUAUAUAUAAAAAGAAAAUCCUAUGCUUUACAUUCAAGCUUAUGCACAACAUGUUCAUCAUUGGAUAGAAUAUAUUAAUAAUAUAUUACUUCAUUACUCUCUUAGUCACAACCAUACAUCACAGCAACUAGAACUUAAUCAAACAGAGAAUUGGGUUAUCCAAAAUGAGCCAAAACAUUUAUGAAUGAAAAAAUCUUAUGCACGAUUUCUAGGAAGAUAUGACCCAAAACCCAAAAAGGGAAGGAAACGUUAUUGGAAAUUUUAAACUACAUACUCUUUACAAAGACAGACAUCCCAAGGCUGCAGAAUGGUCAUAAUUAAGUUAUAAGGUAGCCCGAAGGCUAAUUAACUACCCUAAUACUAACUUAAAAGUCCAUUAUUAACGUACUAAAGACAUCUAGUAUACAACAUUCAGGUAUACUACAUUCCCUAAUCAAACUAACCAACACCCAGAAGAAAGAAAAUGUAACUAAAAGUUUUCUCCAGUGACAAGUAUAUACUUCAUAUUUUACUUGAUAUUUUAUUUAGAAGGGUGCACUUAGGCUGAAAAUUAAUAUGCAGGUUACCAAUUUAACUUAACAACUUAUACCACAUGAAAAGAUUGCUUCUUUUUUUUUUUUGGCCAAGCUUUAUAAUUUUCGUAGUCUAUUUAAUAAUAUCAACAUCAAUUACAUACACAGCUUCCAUACAGACCCAAUCAUAGUAUGUAAAACAAUACAAAUCAACACACAAAAUAGGACGGAAAGAGUAUGUAUAUAUGUGCGUCGUUUGGUUUCCCAUAUAUAAAAAAAUUCUAUUUCUUGUCUCUCCUCUAUUAUUUAAAACGGUAUGAAGAGUACCCCAAACUUAGCAAAAUUUCAACAUAUAUGAGUCCAGUGACUUGCCAUAUUCCAACGGCUUACAUAUUUCGGUUGGAACAUACAAAUCACAAAACUUCAUCAAAACCAUAUCAUCAUUUUGAACGAUGUAUUAUUAUAUGAAAACAACAACAUAUGGA
rnacentral:lncRNA from 1 species